GAUGAACGCUGGCGGCGUGCCUAAUACAUGCAAGUCGAGCGAACGGACGAGAAGCUUGCUUCUCUGAUGUUAGCGGCGGACGGGUGAGUAACACGUGGAUAACCUACCUAUAAGACUGGGAUAACUUCGGGAAACCGUAGCUAAUACCGGAUAAUAUUUUGAACCGCAUGGUUCAAAAGUGAAAGACGGUCUUGCUGUCACUUAUAGAUGGAUCCGCGCUGCAUUAGCUAGUUGGUAAGGUAACGGCUUACCAAGGCAACGAUGCAUAGCCGACCUGAGAGGGUGAUCGGCCACACUGGAACUGAGACACGGUCCAGACUCCUACGGGAGGCAGCAGUAGGGAAUCUUCCGCAAUGGGCGAAAGCCUGACGGAGCAACGCCGCGUGAGUGAUGAAGGUCUUCGGAUCGUAAAACUCUGUUAUUAGGGAAGAACAUAUGUGUAAGUAACUGUGCACAUCUUGACGGUACCUAAUCAGAAAGCCACGGCUAACUACGUGCCAGCAGCCGCGGUAAUACGUAGGUGGCAAGCGUUAUCCGGAAUUAUUGGGCGUAAAGCGCGCGUAGGCGGUUUUUUAAGUCUGAUGUGAAAGCCCACGGCUCAACCGUGGAGGGUCAUUGGAAACUGGAAAACUUGAGUGCAGAAGAGGAAAGUGGAAUUCCAUGUGUAGCGGUGAAAUGCGCAGAGAUAUGGAGGAACACCAGUGGCGAAGGCGACUUUCUGGUCUGUAACUGACGCUGAUGUGCGAAAGCGUGGGGAUCAAACAGG
rnacentral:rRNA from 1 species